rnacentral:rRNA from 1 species
AUGCCUCCAGGAAGGGUGAUGGCCCCAGCUCCAGGACAAAAAAAGAGGAUCCUGGAACCUGAUGAACCUGCCCUUGAUAGAGUCACAAGGCAGAAAGCAAAGAUGGCGACUGCGACGGACCAUCAGGAAAGUCUGAUGCGCAUGGACUCUGAGACCUCGGUGCAAAUGGGUGAUGAGUUGCCGCACAUGGAUGAAGAUGCAAUGACUACCAAGACUAGACUUAGAAAGGGCAAAGGGCUAGAGAGGAUCACCAAGUCGCUUGGUAGCAAGAUGUCUAUCCAAAUUGCCGAAGGGAUGAAGCGUCCAGAGAAGCCUCUGCAGGCAGCAAAGCUUGCUUCUGAGUGUGGACUCCUCGCAAGAAGCCAUCUUCUGGUUCUUCCUCACUUCAAGCUAUACAAAAAAUGCUAG